rfam:Cucumis sativus cultivar 9930 chromosome 5, whole genome shotgun sequence.
UCGAAAAGAGUCUGUCAAAUUAGCCUUAGACAACUGCAUGUAUUAUAUAACUAAUUAAGAGUCUCAAAUAUUUAAGAAACUCAAAAUUAAUAUUAAGAUCAAGAUAACAUCCUACAGGCAAGUCAUCUUUGGCUACCAAACGAGACUCUUUAUC